GCUCUAGCUCAAUGGUAGAGCAUUUGCUUUGCACUCAGAAGGUCCCGGGUUCAAUCCUUGAGGGUCUCCA